GACGAACCGUGCGAACGUUGUUCGGAAUCACUGGGCUUAAAGGGCGCGUAGGCGGGCGGCCAAGUCAGAGGUGAAAUCCUGCAGCUCAACUGGAGAAGUGCCUCUGAUACUGGCGGCCUCGAGGGAGAUAGGGGCGUGCGGAACUUCCGGUGGAGCGGUGAAAUGCGUAGAUAUCGGAAGGAACACCGGUGGCGAAAGCGGCGCGCUGGAUCUCUUCUGACGCUGAGGCGCGAAAGCCAGGGGAGCGAACGGG
rnacentral:rRNA from 1 species